rnacentral:rRNA from 1 species
GAUGAACGCUAGCGGCAGGCCUAAUACAUGCAAGUCGAACGGUGUCUUCGGACAUAGUGGCGCACGGGUGCGUAACACGUAUGCAACCUACCUUACAUUGGGGGAUAGCCUUUCGAAAGGGAGAUUAAUACCGCAUAAGACAGUAGCUGGGCAUCCAGUAGCUGUUAAAGAUUUAUCGAUGUAAGCUGGGCAUGCGUCCAAUUAGUUAGUUGGUGAGGUAACGGCUCACCAAGACGAUGAUUGGUAGGGGAACUGAGGGGUCAAUCCCCCACACGGGAACUGAGAUACGGGCCAGACUCCUGCGGGAGGCAGCAGUAGGGAAUAUUGGGCAAUGGACGCAAGUCUGACCCAGCCAUGCCGCGUGCAGGAAGAAGGCGUUCUGCGUUGUAAACUGCUUUUAUAUAGGAAGAAACGACCCUUGCGAGGGGCAUUGACGGUAUUAUAUGAAUAAGCACCGGCUAACUCCGUGCCAGCCGCCGCCGUAAAAC